GGAUGUGAGAGUGAUCCGGCUGUAACAUCUGUCACUCCAUUGGCCAUCAGGGUUGAUUCAGCUGAUCUGGCUGCUUAGGCACAUGUGCUUUUCUCUCUCUCCCAUCCAUGUGUAUCUGUCCUGUAGCUGCACUCUCGAUUGCAGAGGAUGAUCGUUUGCAAUACAAGACAGUUUCUUCAGUCAAAGAUAUAAGAGUAGCUGCACUCCCCUGUUAGAAACCUCUGAAUAACUUCUCUAGUUAAUUAGGCCGCAGUAGUAGGGAUGAGGACAAGGAUUAUAGAACCAUGUAGGAGGAACAGUU
rnacentral:snRNA from 1 species